CCAGAGCUGCUUACUCAAUGUGCUGCAGGUGCCACCCAAGUGGCCUUCUGUUCCCAUUAUGUAUGGGUACAGGGUACAUGGUAGAGGGAAAAAAAAAACUGAUCACAUCACCCCAGCUUCUAGAAGACCUCAGUUUAGCAAGCUGCCCAACAAAAUCAACUUCUCUCUGCUUGAAUAGGCUCUUCUUUAAUGGUCGUGCCCACAAUCAAAACGGCCUGCUCUCUCCAGUGAAGUAUAAAGGGCUCACAGCAGUGCCAGCAGAGAUGGGCUAGGAGGACAAAAGGCCACCACUUACCACCUCUGGCCCUGACAACCAGCUUGCUGCCUUGGCCAGUUCAUAACCGAGAAAUGAAGGAGAAGCCUUUAAAUCGGCAGACACCCCUUUUUCCCUAUGAGGGAAGACUGUACCAAGCCUUCUUUGGACACUGAUGUAAGGUGUUUGUUGUACAAAUGUCUGAAGGAGCCUGGUGUCUGGAGACUCCUAACUGUGCAACUGUGUGGACGUGGAUGGUCAGAGCAACUUUCAGUCCACAUCUGAGGAAGGAGAUGAAUAAAGCUCAAAAC